rnacentral:lncRNA from 1 species
GGCCGCUAUAGCUGGAGAAUCAUCAUAUUCCAUAAUUGGAGGAAGAUCGGGCCUUUCAAAUGAUUGAUGUAUUUUUUUACUUUUCUUCUUGUAAAUAUCUAUUUUGUAGCUUCUGUAAUAAAUUUAUUAAUAAAAUGAACUUGAAAUUUUUAUUUCACUUGUACUUUCAUGCUUCGUUGAUUUUAUUUCUGUAUAGUUCGAAUUUAGUUGCGU